rnacentral:rRNA from 1 species
UACGGGGGGGGCAAGCGUUGUUCGGAAUUACUGGGCUUAAAGGGUGCGUAGGCGGCUUUGUAAGUCAGGAGUGAAAGUUUGCGGCUCAACCGUAAAAUUGCUUCUGAUGCUGCAUGGCUAGAAUUAGGAUGAGGUCAGCGGAAUGUGGCAUGUAGCGGUGAAAUGCAUAGAUAUGCCAUAGAACACCAAUUGCGAAGGCAGCUGACUAGACCUGGAUUGACGCUGAGGCACGAAAGCGUGGGGAGCGAACAGG